CAUUUUGUCCGCGCAGCCGCGGGGAGCUGGCUCAGCCCCCGCCAUGGAGCCGCUGUCGCCGCCCGGCCCUGGACACCCCAUGGGAGCAGGUACGUUUGAUGUCAUCGAUGACAUCAUUCCCCCGCCCCAAUUUUGGUGAUGACAUCACACCCAGCUCACCUUGAGCCCUGAAAACACUCGGGAUGGCUGAAAAAUUGGGAUGAGGGUGGAGGGGACGGGAAUGGGGGAGGGGAGACACUCACCCCCCCCCCUUCCCCCCUCCCCCCUUCGCUUUCCCACAGGUGGCACGAGCCGAGGGCGGGGCCGGAGAUGUGCCCCCGCUCGGAUGGAUCCCGCGGCCUCGUGUCACAAGUUCAAUGAAAUCGAUAUUUUUGUUCAAUAAAAUGGAUAUUUUUGAUAC
rnacentral:lncRNA from 1 species